ACAAAUGUUUUAAAUGCUACACUCAUGAUCUUAUUAUCCAUCAACUUUGUCUUGCUCACUAUGCUUAAGGUUAGAGAAGAACUAAUACACUUUUGGUUCUGUUGGUGUUUUCCACCAACAGGGCCCAUGCACUUGAUCUCUUCCUUGUCUCUAUGAGCAGGUACACAUCGAGCAAAACAUGGAGGAGUUUUACAACUCCCAGACUCCACCAAGUGAAGGACCUGGAUCUACGAGCACAAACACACUGAGCAGGAUGCUGCCAACGCCGCAC
rnacentral:lncRNA from 1 species